UACGGGGGGGGCAAGCGUUGUUCGGAAUUACUGGGCGUAAAGGGCUCGUAGGCGGCCAACUAAGUCAGACGUGAAAUCCCUCGGCUUAACCGGGGAACUGCAUCUGAUACUGGAUGGCUUGAGAUUGGGAGAGGGAUGCGGAAUUCCAGGUGUAGCGGUGAAAUGCGUAGAUAUCUGAAGGAACAUCAGUGGCGAAAGCGACUUCCUGGACCAAUACUGACGCUCAUGUGCGAAAGCGUGGGGAGCAAACAGG
rnacentral:rRNA from 1 species